rnacentral:rRNA from 1 species
UGAGCAAUCUGCCCUUCACAUCGGAAUAACCAUUGGAAACGAUGGCUACUACCGAAUAUGACCUCGGAUCGCAUGAUCUGAAGUGGAAAGCUCCGGCGGUGAAGGAUGAGCUCGCGGCCUAUCAGCUAGUUGGUGUGGGUAAUGGCCCACCAAGGCGACGAUCAGUAGCUGGUCUGAGAGGAUGACCAGCCACACUGGGA